rnacentral:lncRNA from 13 species
AUGAACUGGGAAAUCCACAACUGCCCUCCCUUGGAUUCCUCCAUCACCCAUCAAAGCAACAACCUAUGCUCAUUGGUGGAGGAUACUUGCCUUGCCUUGGAGACUUUGGACUUGGACUUUUGGAUUAAUGCUGAAAUGAGUUUAGACUUUGGGGGACCGUUGGGAAGACAUGAUUCUGUUUUGCAAUGUGAGGACAUGAGAUUUGGGAGUGGCCAAGGGUUGAAUGAUAUGGUUUGGCUGUGUCCCCACCCAAAUCUAAUCUUGAAUUGUAGUUCCUAUAACCCCCACGUGUCAUGGGAGGGACCUGGUGGAAGGUAAUUGAAUCAUUGAGGCAGUUACCUCCAUGCUGUUUUCAUGAUAGUGAGUGACUUCUCAUGAGAUAUGACUGGUUUUAUAAGGGGCUUAUCCCCCCUUUUGUUCAGCACUUCUCUCUCUGCCACCAUGUGAAGGAAGAUAUGUUUGCUUUUCCUUCUGCCAUGAUUGUAAGUUUCCUCAGACCUCCCUAGCCAUGCG